UACAGAGGGUGCGAGCGUUAAUCGGAAUUACUGGGCGUAAAGAGCGCGCAGGCGGUCGUUCAAGUCGCGUGUGAAAGCCCCCGGCUCAACUGGGAGGGUCACGCGAUACUGAUCGACUCGAAGGCAGGAGAGGAUAGUGGAAUUCCUGGUGUAGCGGUGAAAUGCGCAGAGUAUCAGGAGGAACACCGGUGGCGAAGGCGGGUCUCUGGGCCGAUACUGACGCUGGAGGAGCGAAAGCGUGGGGAGCGAACAGG
rnacentral:rRNA from 1 species